GGGACCCCGGUGCCGCGUCACCCAUGUCAUCUAUGUCACCUGCGGUGCGGGGAGCUCCAUUCCCAGAAGGGCCUGGGCAGCCCUGCGCGGGCCGGACCUCUGUCCUCCGCGGGAGGUGCCCUGCCUGGCUGCGCUUCCCGCGUCCCCAGUAAGCCCCAUUGGCAGGUCAGCGGGCGGCUCUCUCAGCCUCCUCAGCUGGGGGACUGGACGCUGACCCCUCUGGCCUCCCCACGUCCAGCCUGGCCUCUCCUGUCGUGUUCCCACAGGAGCAGAGCAAACCUGGUAGAAGCUGAAUGGAGCCGGCGCGGUCAUCCCAGGGCUCCGGAGGCCAGGGCGGGAGGAUCGUGAGUUCAAGUCAGCCUCAGCAGUGAGGCCCUAAGGAGCUCAGUGAGACUCUGUCGCUAAAGAAAAUGCAAAACAGGGCUGGGGUGUGGCUCAGGGGUCGAGUGCCCCUGGGUUCAAUCCCUGGUACACCCCCCAAAAUGCUAAAUGGAAUCUGGCCUGCCCUGGCUCACCCCAGCCACCUGUACUUCAGGGACCAGGGGACCUGCCCCUCCCCUCCCCUGCAAGCAGCCUGGGAUCACCCUGGGCUGCACCUGUCACGGGCUGUGUCACCCCUCCCCAGAAUGCCAGCCGCUGCGGAUGGAGGUCUGGCCUGUCACUCCUACGUCCCUGGAUCUCAGAGCAGAGCCUGGCGCACGCUGGUGCCCAGAGCCAGUGGUGGAAUGUGCAGGAGCGCGUCCCCGAGGACCCCAGCCUGAGCAGAAGGGAGGACCCUGGGAAGAGGAACAGAGAAGGCCUUAUAAAGCGCCUACUGUGUGCCCAGAGCCUUCUCACUCCCAUCACCUGCAGGACUCACAGGUAGUGACUGAGCACCUACUACGCGCCAAAGUCCCCAACCCCCUGGAGCCGAGUGGUGCACGACCCCGGGGAGCAGGGGACGCACCGGUCACCAGGCACAGACUGUCAGGGUGUCUGGAGGGACGGGGACCUUCGGGGACCUUCAGGGAGCAGGAGACACGCUGUGAAAGAGGAAACCCCUGGUGCUGAGCAAGUGCAGGCUGGCCUCGCCCUCAGCCGGGAAGGUCCUGAGGAAGUGAGCCGUGCCCUUGCCGGGCCCGGCCGGCGGAUCCAGAGCCUGGGAGGAACAGCGUCCCCUUCCUGGCGGGCACAGCUGGGCCAAGACCGGACGCGUCACCCCGCCCUGGAAGCUGGUGGCUGGGUGGAAACGCCCCGCCUUGGCUCGUCCCCUGGGGAAGGCGCUCCAGGCUGGCUGCCCGUGCGUCCUGCGGCCACCCCUUCCCCUGGACCGCGGCUCCCCCAGGCCCCCAAUGCAGCAGGGUUAGGGUUAGGGUUAGGGGGCAAGAGGACAUCCCAGGCCCCCUUCCCCAGGGUCCUCGGGAUCUGGAAAGCACCCUCUCUGGGGCUGGGGUGGGAAGGAGACUCCGCCGCUCCAGACCCUGAGUCAGGGACCCCGAGGGCCUUGGCAGGAAGUGACCCGCAGCCUCACGCACAACGGAGGACACUGAGGUCCUCGCAGGCUCAGGCUGUCAGCCGCUGCGCCACGCCUCGGCCCGGGCUUCCCGGGGUCCUCCGACAGCCCCAGGGAGCAGGCCAGGCCAACUCGGAGACGCAGCUGGAGGCCACGGCACCAGUUAAUGGGGAGCAGGUGGCUUAGGCCUGUCCCCUGCGGGAGGAGGAGGAUGGACGAGGGGCUGGGUCAGCUCCACGUUCAGCACCCUGGGUGGCCCGGGGCAGCUGGCAGAAGCCCAGCCACCUGCAGGUACCAGGUCCAGCCAGAGAGGCACAGGCCAGCCACCAGGCAACAAUACACGUGAGCGGGUUAAACGGGUCUGUUAAAAGCAGAGACUCUCACGUUAGACCGAAAACCAAAUAAAUAUGCGCUGCCCAGCUGUUCCAGGGCCCGUUUCAGAUUCUCAUGGCAGAGCUGGGGAGGAGGCCACCGUAGAGCACGUGCCCAGCAGGGGACCUGGGUUUGAUCCAGCACCUCCCCCACCCCCCACCCAGAUCUCACCUGCUCAGGAAGGGGAUCGGGAGAGUCCUGCCGUGGAGGCCUGGGUGGAGCCCGAGGGGUGGAGACGCGGGGCCUGGGGGAGCUGGACAACAGAUGGCCCAGAGCGUGAAGCGGCCAGGCCGGCGGCCAGGCCAGGCAGGUCAGCGUGGAGAUGAGCUGGGUCUGGUUUGUCCAGAGCCGGGGGCAGCCACUGAUCCGGGCUCUCCCAGCGACCCCCAAUGGACUAUGGGCCUUCCCAGCCCGGGGCCUUCCUCCUGUCCCAGAGCCUCAAGGUGGCCGACCCCCACGUCCCCACCGGGAAGAAGACCCACCAGGACGGGUGCCGGCGCUGACGCUUCAUUGAGUUCUGUGGUCAGAUAAUAAAACUGAGGCUCAGAGAGACGGAGGGGUCUGCCCAGGGUCAGAAAUCCAGGGCAGGGCUGAGUUGGGACUCAGUGUACUGGACACUGUCCUUGUGGCUGACCGCACCUCGGAAGUGGCAGAGACCGCAGAGACCUGGAGAUAGCUGGUGAGGUCAGCGUCGGGCCCUGGUGACCCACCCUUGGGCCAGUGGUUUCAGCGCUGAGCAGGCAGCUUCUUAACGGGUCUGUGGUGAGCCAUGGACAGAGGAGGAGACUGAGGCUCAGAGUGGGGAAGUGACCAUCUUGGUCGUGGCCUGAGCCCUCCAGUGGGCCUGGUACCGGGUGUGUUCAGUGAAUGGUGACCCCCUAGGAAGGGCCAGCGGAGGAGGUGGAGGCCUGGGUUGGGGUGGGAGCAGGAGCAGGGACACCAGUGGGCUCCUAGCCCUGCCCCUCACGGCGCCCCAGACAUUCCUGAGGGGCCUGGGCCGUGGGAAGACCCCGCGUCUCUUCAGGCCUCACCGAGGUCCUGCCCCAAACAACAGGAAGUGCCAGGCGGACCCCACCCCCACCAGGCUGUGGGAAGCGCUGGGACUGCAGGGCUCCCAGCACGCGCAGCCUCCGUGGGGCUGUGUGACCUUAGGCAAAGCCUUUGCCCUCUCUGGGCUUUGCUCUCCCCAGUUCUAGUCACAGGCUCCAGGGCAGAGAUGCUGUGCCGCCUCUGGAUGUGUGACCUUGGGCAGUGGCCGGGCCCCUCUGAAACCUAGCUCCCUCUUUUGCACCUGGGGACAGUGGCCACACCUGGGGGACAGUGGCCACAUUUGGGGGACAGUGCCCACACCUGGGGGACAGUGGCCACACCUGGGGACAGUGCCCACGGUGCACGCUCUCUCCCCGGAGCCAGGGUCACCCCACUCAGAGUGUCCGAAGUGACCUCGGGGCCCUCUGGCCAGGGCCAGCUUCCUGGGCUCAGGACCUGGCGGCUCUCUCCCGCCUCAGUCCCCUCCGUGAAGCAGGCAGA